rnacentral:rRNA from 1 species
AGUGGCGGACGGGUGAGUAACACGUAAGAAUUUGCCUUUAGGAGGGGGAUAACAACUGGAAACGGUUGCUAAUACCCCAUAUGCUUUCGAGUGAAAUGGUUUUUCCGCCUAAAGAGAAGCUUGCGGCUGAUUAGCUUGUUGGUGAGGUAAUAGCUCACCAAGGCGACGAUCAGUAUCUGGUUUGAGAGGACGAUCAGACACACUGGAACUGAGACACGGUCCAGACUCCUACGGGAGGCAGCAGUAGGGAAUUUUCCGCAAUGGGCGAAAGCCUGACGGAGCAAUACCGCGUGAGGGAUGACGGCCUAUGGGUUGUAAACCUCUUUUUUCGGGGAGGAAUCAAUGACGUGUACCUGAAGAAUAAGCAUCGGCUAACUCCGUGCCAGCAGCCGCGGUAAGACGGAGGAUGCAAGUGUUAUCCGGAAUCACUGGGCGUAAAGCGUCUGUAGGUGGUCAAAUAAGUCAACUGUUAAAUCUUGAGGCUCAACCUCAAAACCGCAGUCGAAACUAUUAGACUAGAGUAUAGUAGGGGGUAAAGGGGAAUUUUCCAGUGGAGCGGUGAAAUGCGUAGAGAUUGGAAGGAACACCGAUGGCGAAGGCACUUUACUGGGCUAUUACUAACACUCAGAGACGAAAGCUAGGGUAGCAAAUGGGAUUAGGUACCCCAGUAGUCCUAGCUGUAAACAAUGGAUACUAGAUGUUGAA